rnacentral:rRNA from 1 species
AGUGAACGCUGGCGGUAGGCCUAACACAUGCAAGUCGAACGGCAGCACAGUAAGAGCUUGCUCUUACGGGUGGCGGGUGGCGGACGGGUGAGGAAUACAUCGGAAUCUACUUUUUCGUGGGGGAUAACGUAGGGAAACUUACGCUAAUACCGCAUACGACCUACGGGUGAAAGCAGGGGAUCUUCGGACCUUGCGCGAUUGAAUGAGCCGAUGUCGGAUUAGCUAGUUGGCGGGGUAAAGGCCCACCAAGGCGACGAUCCGUAGCUGGUCUGAGAGGAUGAUCAGCCACACUGGAACUGAGACACGGUCCAGACUCCUACGGGAGGCAGCAGUGGGGAAUAUUGGACAAUGGGCGCAAGCCUGAUCCAGCCAUACCGCGUGGGUGAAGAAGACCUUCGGGUUGUAAAGCCCUUUUGUUGGGAAAGAAAAGCAGCAGGUUAAUACCCCGCUGUUCUGACGGUACCCAAAGAAUAAGCACCGGCUAACUUCGUG